ACCAGAGUCUCGGAUGGCAACCUCACAGUGCCAUCGAGAGCGUGUUAUGUAAAUUCAGUAACCCUCCUAAUGGCGUAAAUGAAUGCGCCACUAGCGAAAGAGAAAAGCCAAAGGGCGUAGUCAUAGGGUAUGACGGAUGAGAAGUCCAAUCUUCAUGUUGGCUUGCUACCGUAGCAUUCCAUCGUGAAUUUAACGAGUGGUUACAUCAACC
rnacentral:sRNA from 12 species